ensembl:lncRNA
AGCCUACACCACAGCAACACAGGAUCCAAGCCACAUCUGGGAACUACACCACAGCUCACGGCAACACUGGAUCCUUAACCCACUGAGGGAGGCCAGGGAUUGAACCUGCAUCAUCAUGGAUACUAGUCAUGUUCAUUAACCACUGAGCCAUGAUGGGAACUCCUCAUGCUCAAACUGUUUUUUUUUCCAGCUCACAAAUACCUUUUCAUUGGUGUGAUGUGGUCAGGGGUCCUGGAAGGAGUAGGUGGAUUUUGGUGAUCUUCACCACUCCAGUAGCUAAAGAAGAGGUUUAAAGCCAAACACACUUAUAAAGAGACAUUCAUUGUUGUCACUUAUGUCGUUUCUCCAUUGAAAGUGGGAAUGAAUCUGAUGCAUGUCCUAUAGGCAUCUUGCGUCUUGCCUGACUCUAUCAACACCACUUUAAGUCAUUGCUGUGGAAGAGUACUUUCAAUUUAUAACUUGGUGGCUGAAAAUUAGAGGAAGGGAGUUUUAUUUGAGGUGUAAAAAUGACAUAGUUUCCACAAGGACUCAGGAUUAGGGAGAGAACCAACCUGACCUGAGGCAAAAAAAAAAGAAAAAAAGAAAAAAAGAGAGAAGCGUGGAGUUCCCACUGCGGUGCAGUGGGUGAAGGAUCUGACUUCAGCAGCUCCGGUGGCUGUGGAGGUUUAGGUUUAAUUCCCUGCCCUGAGCAGUGGGUUAAAGUAUCUGGUGUUGCCAUAGCUGUGGCUCAGACUCAGUCCCUGGCCCAGGAACUUCCACAUGCCGUGGGUGCAGCCAAAAAACAAAAUGGAAGCAGAAAACACCAUAUUCACCUGCAAGAAAUGACAAGUAAAAGUUCGAGAUGGAUUGAAAUCCCUUUAUGUAUAUCAGCUUUCCAUAGCUGUCACAGUUCAAACUCAGAAACGAUACGCAUCCCAGCUUAAUCGGCGCAUCCUCCCAAGCCAGCGCACCUGAUUGUCUAGGGCCCCACUGGCCUGUGGCUCCCUCCAUGGGUGCCGUCAGCCAUAUAACCACCUUUCUGACCGUGUUUUACCUAUAGCAUCAUUGCCUGGAAGAAACGGUGGAUUGGGAAAAGGUGAAAAUUCUCUUUUCCUGGUCUUGCGUGCAUUGGCCAAGGAUUGGUACAAUUCACAUGGCUGACCAUUUAGUUUGCCCGCCCAGUCCUUGCUGAUCGCUGGGAGAGCUGGAGCUCCCGAUGGGAGGAGUGGAACGGGGAGACCCGCACCCAGGUGAGGUCAGUCUGUACUCAAUGGAAGCGGAGCCACCCAAACAGACGGAGCAAAGGGAAGUCUAGAGGCAUCAAAGAUAAACUGCAUUUCCCUUAAAGCACCACCUAAUCCUGUCCCAUCCUCUCUCAGGGGCCAUUGAUUUCUUUUGUAAUAUGAAGGCUCUGAUUUACUCUGGGCUUUGGGCUUCUGUUCUUAUUGAUUUACAAAUUCCUGCCAUCUAGUGGCCAAAUGAAUCGCACAUCUUCCCCCUUAAACAUGCCCUUAUUUGUCCAAAACCCACAGUCUGAUCCUUGAAAUAGGAGUUUUAAGUGCCUUAUGCAGAGCAGAAGCUCAAAAAUAUUUACUGCACAAAUGAAAUGUAGUUCAACCAGAAGUUUCAACUUGGUACACGACACAGAGAAAGGAAAGAAAACAGACAUUGGACAAAAUUGACAGCGAAGCUUUUUGUCAGUGUUAUAAUCCAGUAAAGGUCUCUCCUAAGCAAUCCUUAGGUGAGCAGGUAUCUUGAGUUGAUAUAUGUUUCUUCAUCGUUGUCGUCAUCAUCCAUGCAAAAGGGACCAAUGACAGGUUUGCUUGCAGAAAUGGGGAGAAAUGGACUAUGGCAGUGGUUCUGACCUUUGUCAAGCCAGAGGGUGGGACCUCGGGGCGUGGCUGGAAGGUACGUUUGCAGAGCAAGCCCCUUCCUCUUCUCUGUCAUGACAUUAACAUCCCCUGGGGAAUCUUUCAAAAAUUCCAGGGGUUCCACUGUGGUGCCGUGGAUUAAGAAUCCGCCUGCAGGACUUCCCGUCAAAUGUCUGCCUUGACUUGUGUUUCUGACGUGAGAGCUGAUGACCAACCAGCUCAGUCUUGGCAGACCCUCCAGCCACACCUAAUGAUUGCCACUUCAAAGCCAGUGCUGCUUCCCUUGGAAUGGCUUCAUGCUGCUUCUAGGUCAUUUCUCCAGGCAUGUGAAGAACGGUUCUUCCCCCCACUUCUUUUUAAAACAUACUUUCUCUGAGGACAUUAAAAAAAAAAAAAAAAAA